rfam:Brassica oleracea var. oleracea cultivar TO1000 chromosome C5, whole genome shotgun sequence
AGGAGCCGUAUGAGGCGAAGACCUCAUGUACGGUUUUGUAAUAGCGGUGAGAAUAGUAAUGUUAUCAUCGACUAGGAU